UAUGUGAAAACAGCUCGCCGCCGGGUGAUGUUAUGAGCCCAGACACGAUGGCGUUUGGUUUUCCGACAUAUCUGGGACUUCCACAACAUGUACAAAGCAGCAACAGUGAUUAUUUCUUCCAUGGUUGAUAACGGAAAUAGCGGAAAGAAGACUUGUUGGUAUUUAUGAAGACAAGCCCAUUCU